rnacentral:rRNA from 1 species
CAGCAGCCGCGGUAAUACGUAGGGUGCAAGCGUUAAUCGGAAUUACUGGGCGUAAAGCGUGCGCAGGCGGUUUGUUAAGACAGAUGUGAAAUCCCCGGGCUCAACCUGGGAACUGCAUUUGUGACUGGCAAGCUAGAGUGUGGCAGAGGGGGGUGGAAUUCCGCGUGUAGCAGUGAAAUGCGUAGAGAUGUGGAGGAACACCGAUGGCGAAGGCAGCCCCCUGGGCCAAUACUGACGCUCAUGCACGAAAGCGUGGGGAGCAAACAGGAUUAGAUACCCCAGUAGUCCCUGUCUCUUAUAC